CUUGAUUGGAGAGAACUAGAGGACGAGGAAGUGAAAAUUCGCCUCUGGCUGGCAGUCUCUGCUCACCGUGCAGCGGUUAAGAGUCUUUUUGUUGGUUUGUUUCUGCAUAUUCUGCCCGGGGAGCAAAAACACCGCCUCAUCAGAGCCGGGGCUCUUGAGACCGACUCCAGCUAUGGUUUGGGGUACCUCCUGAAUUCUAAAAACAAGCGUUUCUCACUUCUGAACCAACGAGCAUUUCCCAGGGAGGCGAUAAAACACCCACAUAGACUUUGAAGAAACCAAGUUGGCCGAGGGUUAUGCCAGUCUAUUUAUCCAAACUACAGUGGCCAGAUGUGCUGUCCUUCAUUGUAAUGAACACGAGCGUUAGAGCAGACAGAACACAAGGACUCUUCCCACAUGAAAUAUGAAUCGGUUCAGGAAACCGCGAUUCCGUGCGUUCACAUCAAGGUGGGUUCCCAGACGACAUUGAGCCUUGCAGAGAGGGGUCUAACCAAGUCAAGCUGUUCACCAGGCCUCUGUGUCAGAUCCGUGCGUGUCAAGGUAAGGCAAUAUCAUCCCUACCCGUCUGAGCAACCACUUGUUAUUAAUCUCCAUUUUUCCUUAGACAUUGAUUGAGACUUAACAACCAGCCCACCCCUUCCCUGGGGUUCAGGCUCAUGGGCAACUUACACAAAGCUGGAAUGGUCUCCUGAGGCCUAAGGACGGCUGGGAGACCCUCUACGGUAAUCCUGACUAUAGAAUCCAAACACUUCCCAGACCCGCUGCAGGGAAGUUCCGUGCUGUGACCCCUGGCGAAGGCAAUUUCCGGCGGGACGGUACUCACCCCGCCCAUUUGUUUACAAGAAAGUCUUGCUUCUGUCUUCAUCUCCUUGGACCUAAGUUUGUAAUCCGGAGUUCAAGAAUCAGUUUUGUGCUAGGAGGUUGGGGUUAGGAGGAGCACGGUUGAAUUCCUUGUGGAGAAACACAAGUGUUGUGAUCACGUCGGAUGUGUGUGAAAGGCAGUGCUGAUUCUCUCCUAACUCCCGGUGGUCGUGGUGAUGGUGCUACCUUUGUGAUAAAUGAGAACAGACUAAAGUUCUCGGGCGUUAGUCUGAGAACAGACUCCUAGAGGAUCAAAAAUAGCCGCGGGGCUUUGCACAGAAUCGUGUGCAUUUCCAGAACGUGCUCGCAUAAGUUUUUCUUUGGUACCUUUCUGAAACUCGUGAAGGAAUGUGAGGGAAGAGAAUGAGACCAAAUGACGGGACUACCAUUGAUCAGUUAUUUACAAGGCAUUGUACUGGGGCGCCUGGGUGGCUCAGUCGGUGAA